AGUACGUACUUCAGACUCAGAUAACUAGGGUUAUUUCGCCGCUUCUUCCCCAAAAUAUAAACAGAUCGCGAUUCAUCACUCCCUUCGCCCCUUCCUAAAUCCACUCCAGUCGCAUGCCGCCGUCGUUAUCACUCGCGUCGCCCUCGCCGCCGGUCUCCUCUCCUCGCCACACAUCUAUGCUACGGUGCUUUCCUUCGCCGUCCAACGCCACAGUCGCCGCCGGCUCGUCUCCAUUGCUAUCGCCCUAGACUGCCUCUAGUGUUCUUCAUACAGCAGAGGUCGCCGUCGGCUCGUCUCAGGUCUCAAAGGUCGCCAGUCGUUCUUCCUCAAGUCUUUGGUGCGAGGCAUCCAUCCUUAAGAAUUACCGUCUUCUUUUACUUCUUCUUUACGGCCAUUCUAUCUGCAGUCAUCGCUCUUAUUGUGGGCAGGGACUUAAAUGCAUGGAUGUUAACGCCUGAUAUGAGGUGACUUGCUGUUCUAUACUCGGGGGUUUUUGGCUCUGCGUUCCAAGUCAGUGUAAUGGUCUGGUG